GCAUGGUACAUAGCCUUGUGAAUGCAAUCUGUGCCCGAGUCCGGAAGGGACCUCAUCACCACUCUGACAACAGAAGUGGGUUAAUCACCACAAGACCAUAGACGGCGCUCCUGUUGUCUCCUGAAAAAGCCUCGGAUCUGUAGGGCACUGGGUCACC